rnacentral:misc_RNA from 1 species
UGCAGAAAGGUCAACAACCUGUAAAAUACAUCCUCUUGUGAUCAUAUACCAAAAACGAAACAGAUACAACUUCUUUCGCCAUUUUAAAUACCAGAUAAAAUAAAGUUCUGAAAGAGUGAUUGGCAAUGGAAAAACUAGGAGAAGCAAAAGCUAGCCGCUUGGUUUUUGUGGUGUACCCAUUUCAGGGCCACAUAAAUCGUAUGCUACAACUGGCCACAUUCCUUCACUCAAAAGGUUUCUCAAUCACCAUCAUGCAUCCCCAGUUCAACUCUCCUAAUCCCUCAUAUCAUCCUGAAUUCACUUUUAUACCCGUAACCGAUAACUUAUCCGAAAGCAAACUCCUGCCAGGGGAUUUGUUGGGCGACAUUAAGGUCCUUAACAAGAUUUGUCAACUGCCGUUUGAGCUAUGCAUGAAGAAAAUGUUAGAAAAAGAGGAUAGAGAUAACCCGAUUUCAUGUGUUAUUUAUGACGUACUUAUGCACUGUGCUCAAACUGUUGCUAAUCGUCUGAAGCUGCCGGGGAUUGCUCUUCGGACUAGUGCUGCUGCUACCAUAUUAUCCUAUUUUGCUGUCUUUCCUAAUCCACUUGAACAAGGCUUUGGUUCUCUUCUAGAUUCCAUGGCUGAAGAAU